UACGAGAGGUCCAAACGUUAUUCGGAAUCACUGGGCUUACAGAGUUCGUAGGCGGUUCUACAAGUGAGGUGUGAAAGCCCUCGGCUCAACCGAGGAACUGCGCUUCAAACUGUAGAACUAGAGGGAGAUAGAGGUGAGCAGAACUGAUGGUGGAGCGGUGAAAUGCGUUGAUAUCAUCAGGAAUACCGGAGGCGAAGGCGGCUCACUGGGUCUUUUCUGACGCUGAGGAACGAAAGCUAGGGGAGCAAACGGGAGU
rnacentral:rRNA from 1 species